rnacentral:rRNA from 1 species
UACGGAGGGUGUGAGCGUUGUCCGGAAUCACUGGGCGUAAAGGGCGCGUAGGCGGCGCGGUAAGUCGGGUGUGAAAUCUCGGAGCUUAACUCCGAAACUGCAUUCGAUACUGCCGUGCUUGAGGACUGGAGAGGAGACUGGAAUUUACGGUGUAGCGGUGAAAUGCGUAGAUAUCGUAAGGAAGACCAGUGGCGAAGGCGGGUCUCUGGACAGCUCCUGACGCUGAGGCACGAAGGUCAGGGGAGCAAACGGG